rnacentral:rRNA from 1 species
CCUACGGGAGGCAGCAGUGGGGAAUUUUGGACAAUGGGCGAAAGCCUGAUCCAGCAAUGCCGCGUGAGUGAAGAAGGCCUUCGGGUUGUAAAGCUCUUUUGUCAGGGAAGAAACGGUGGGAGCUAAUAUCUCUUGCUAAUGACGGUACCUGAAGAAUAAGCACCGGCUAACUACGUGCCAGCAGCCGCGGUAAUACGUAGGGUGCAAGCGUUAAUCGGAAUUACUGGGCGUAAAGCGUGCGCAGGCGGUUUUGUAAGUCUGAUGUGAAAUCCCCGGGCUCAACCUGGGAAUUGCAUUGGAGACUGCAAGGCUAGAAUCUGGCAGAGGGGGGUAGAAUUCCACGUGUAGCAGUGAAAUGCGUAGAUAUGUGGAGGAACACCGAUGGCGAAGGCAGCCCCCUGGGUCAAGAUUGACGCUCAUGCACGAAAGCGUGGGGAGCAAACAGGAUUAGAUACCCUGGUAGUCCACGCCCUAAACGAUGUCUACUAGUUGUCGGGUCUUAAUUGACUUGGUAACGCAGCUAACGCGUGAAGUAGACCGCCUGGGGAGGUACGGUCGCGAGAAGUUAAACGUUAACGUAAGUAGUAGUAGUACGUAGUAGAGAGCGACGACGGACGACGACGGGAGGGAGGGAGG